AGUGAACGCUGGCGGUAGGCCUAACACAUGCAAGUCGAACGGCAGCACAGUAAGAUCUUGCUCUUACCGGUUGCGAGUGGCGUGCGUGUGAGGAAUACAUCGGAAUCUACUUUUUCGUGGGGGAUAACGUAGGGAAACUUACGCUAAUACCGCAUACCACCUACGGGUUAAAGCAGGGGAUCUUCGGACCUUGCGCGAUUGAAUGAGCCGAUGUCGGAUUGGCUAGUUGGGGUGGUAAAGGCUCAGCAAGGCGGCGAUCCGUAGCUGGUCUGAGAGGCUGAGCAGCAACCCUGGAACUGAGACACGGGCCAGACUCCUACGGGAGGCAGCAGUGGGGAAUAUUGGACAGUGGGCGCAAGCGUGUUCCAGCCAUCCCGCGGGGGUGAAGAAGGCCGUCGGGUUGUAAAGCACUUUUGUUGGGAAAGAACAGCAGCAGGUUGAUAAACCGGUGUUCUGACGGUACCGAAAGAAGAAGCACCGGCUAACUUCGUG
rnacentral:rRNA from 1 species